UUUCAUGUCCAUGUCUUCACUUAACACGUACAUUCCACCCUUUGGAUUUUGGGUUGGUUGAGAGGGAAACUUUCCUUUCUCUCUUGAGUUGGGCUCAUCCCAUCCUCUUGACACCUCAGACACAUAACUUAAAAAGUCCAUGGCUUCUUCCGGAUUCUUACUCAUAAAAUCUCCCCCACACAUGGUUUCAAGAAUUUGCUUCAUGGAGGAAGAC
rnacentral:lncRNA from 1 species